rnacentral:tRNA from 1 species
UUGUAAGAAGCGAUUUGCUUUUGGUUUCGACCCUUAAUUAGAGUUAUUUCCUUACAAA